rnacentral:rRNA from 1 species
UUUGACCUCGGAUCAGGUAGGGAUAGUCCCUGAACUUAU